AAUGUUCCAUUGCAAGUCCAGCUGAGAAAUUUACUAUUUAAUUUGACUACAAAGAAUUUGCCUAAGUUUUUGUAGAAGAACAUGUAAUGGUAUUAGAUGGGAAAGAGGAAAGAAAAAAUUUCAACAUAAUAAUUUUAUAAUGCCUAUCUGGCUAUCAGCAGCAGAAGUUGCUGGAUACGAUUAAUCCUCGGGUUACAAAUGCAAUGCAGCCUGCCCAUUCCAUCCAUAAAUUAAGAAUGCAUGGGAGUGAAUCUCAUAGAUUGAAUGACAUCACUCCCUGCUUCCUCUCUUGCAUUUGUGCUUUCUCGCCCCACAUCAGCCUGACAAGGCCUCCGAUACCAGGAAAGCAACCCCAAGAAGCUGUACAUGGCCUCUCGAGGCUACUUUCUUAUUGGCAAAGCGCUUGAGGAUUGCAUUCCUGUAGGCUUUGGCAGCCCUUUGCAAAAAGCCUUUUUUUUUUUUUUGCAUCAACUCCUCCUAAUCUCUGCUGGUGCCAACAAAAGCUUUUUGCAAAGGGCUGGUGAAGCCUACAGGAACACAAUCUGCAGUCUUCGGCAAGGAAUCAGCAAACGGAGGGAAGGACUGAAGGACCGAAGUUUCCCUCCAUUUGCAAACGUUCAGGUCUCAAUUUACAGAGAAUAGAAGCCUAAAGUGUGAGAUUACACAAGAUGUCGCGCUACUGAUCUUGCAUGAUCUCACAGUAUGUUAGGCCUCUGUUCUCUGCAAAUGCAGGCAAAGAAACCGCAACAGAGAGAUCUUUGGGAAGUAAGUGACUCUCCACAGGCGAAAUGCCUGUGAAGAGCUGGCCGGGGGGGGGGGGGGGGAUAGGGGGGGUGAAUGUUGCAGAGCCUCUGCUUAUUAUUCGUAAGAGUGGACAGGAUUUCCACAUUUAUUGCAGCUGUGGUGCUGCAAUAUUCAUAAUUUCGGGAUUUAUUUGUAAACUCUAGGGGGCGCUUAUCACAUAACUUUGAACAUUCGCUAAGAGAAUGCUCUUAAGCUGGGAAUUACCUGUAUUUAUUUUUGAAGAAAUUGUAAAAAGCUUUUUUGGAGUGUUUGUUGCAUUUUUACCAUGGUGGAUCCCAGCCUUUUUCUCCCUAGGUGCCCCCAAAAUUUCAGCCCCAGAAUUCACCAGCCAGCAUCUCUUGGGGAUAGGAGCACUAAACAGAUUGAGGCUCCUCAUAUAAGGAGAAAAUGAGAGGAGAAGAGAAGCAGAAAGGUUUAAAAGUUCAUCUUUUCCAAACAGUUCCAGGAAUUCAGAAAACCAAGCAUGUCUGUUCAGAUUGUGUCAAGACUGAGGCACGCAAGUGGAAGAAACUAUAUGAAUAGCAAAUAUAUUGGAAGAGUUUGAGGCAGUGACAAAACCAGCAUAACAUUUUAGAUGUAAAGGCUGUCCUGCCUGCAGGUGGCCUUCAUGGAGAAGAGCUACAGGAAUAUUGAGUUGAGGAGAAAAGGGAUUAUGGUUUUGAGUACAGGAUUUCCAGAUUUAUUUGCAACUCCUGCUGUUAUCUCCUUUGCUUGGAGUUGCCUCCUUAUUAGCCUUUGAGAGCUGGGGCCCGAGAGCAUCAUCAAUAUACUGAUAAUUGUGUGGUCCGUCCCCCCCCGGUGUGGAGAUGUGAGGGAAAUAAUUGUAUAAUAGAUAAUGUUUAGUUUCUAAAACAGCAUUGCCUAAGAAUCUUGAAUAGCUUUUGAGAAAGACAAAUAAAGGAAAGUGUCAGGAUUUCUGUAAGCAGAACAUGUUUCCUGUGCUUGUCCCUCAGGGCUCCUUAAUAUUUUUUUCAAAAAUUUAUUCUUCAAAUAUAGGGAGGAAUGGGGUGGGCAGAGCUGGAGUCGCAGCAGAAAGAUGGGGAUUCGGGAACUCCCAAAAGAACCGUUGAUAUCCCUGCUACUGGACAGUCCUUUUGGACCUAAACUAUCCCAGAGAGACGGUGACAGAAGAGGGCACAUCCUGUCGAUCCCAAGGACAUUGCAAAGUCCCUGGUUAAUCCAGGAAAAACUCCCCGAACCGGCGGCUGAGGAAAGCAGCCAUUAAAGCUGUUGGAAAGCUGGGACAGCUCUGGAAUGAAAGGGAAAGCAGAAGGAAAGUAUGUCCGAAUUGGGUGAGAUUUGUAAAAAAUUUUUUUUGUUAAAGAUUAAAGAGCACCCUAAGGGAAAAAGAAAUUUUAAGAUUGAAGACAGAAGAGAAUGCAGCGGGAAAGCAUGUUUAUAACUGUCAGAUUCAAGUAGGGCUAUUUUAUAACGUGUUUUAACAGAAAGAUCAAUUUUUUCUCUUUAACUGGACUGGACUAAUAAUUUGGAAAAGACAAAACCCUAAUUUUAAUUUUAAAUCCUGGACUAUUUUUCCCUUUUUAGUUUGCCUAUUUAGUAACUGUAACUUUAAAAGUGAAUCUUUUUCUUUUUUCUUUUUAAAUUUCCGCUGGAUACAAUAUAACAAAGGAGUGAAAGUAAAGCAAAGCAAUAGUACCACCUAGAGGCUAUAGAAUCUUUUUUAAUAAAUCUAAGAAUUGUUUUUCUGGACAGAUUGUUGAAACAGGUGUUGUGCUGACAAUCUAAACAGAUGGGGAUAGAAGAGAAAGACUACUGUGACCUUGGAUAUGUUACGAUUUGGUUUUCUGGAUACAGUGGCUUGGAAUUGCUUUGUGACUGCUAUCUAAAAUAAUUGUUGGCUAUUCCAUUUUGUUUUAUUUUUUUACUACUGGUAUUUUUUCUGGGCCUUUUUUACUGUUUUAAAUUUGUCUGCAUCUGCUUGCCUCCUUUUUCUCUUUAGCUAGCUUUUUAUUUGGAACGUACUAGUUUUUCCUAUUUUUAUUCUCUAGUACUGGAUUACUACAAGCGGACUAUUUUUGGAACUCUUUCCUUUUUGAUUUUUUGUUUGUUUUUUAUUUUUACCUCUGUGGAUUUAACAGGUAUUUUUAUUUUUCAUCGCUUUUUGUUUUUUCUUUUCUUUUUGAUAUGGAAAGAUUGUUUUCCUUAUAAUUGGAUUAAGGUAGAGAAGAACCUUAAAAAAGCAGAAUUUGAAUUUAUUGGCAGAUAUCCUUUGUGUGGAAUUAUAAUUGACUUGAGAUGAGGAAGACAGCUGCAACAGGAUCAUCGAUUACUACUUCCUCCUCCCUAAGCCCAGCUGGUCAGUGAUCAAUACUAUGCUACAGCAGGAAAAGGGAAGGGAAAAAGAGAAGGAAGGAGAAAGAGAAAAAGAAAAAGAAAAGGAGUUUCCAAUGAAGGAAUUAAGAACAAUGAUGCAAGCAAUACAAGUAAUACGAAAACAAAGGAAGCAAAAACGAAGCGUGUUGAAGAGAAAAUUGAAAACAUAUGACAGUUUACACAUCCAGAUCACAAAAAAAGUGAAAUACCUGGGGAUACAAUUGACAGUGAGAUGUGGAACACUUAAGGAAGACAAUUACUAUAAAUUAAAACAACAGAUUGCGACAGAUUUGGAAAAGUGGAAAAACCUACAACUAUCCUUGACAGGGAGAAUAUGGUUAUUUACUAGGAGUGAAAUUAGAAGAAGAGCAAGUUAAAGAAACGAUGAUUGCU